CCUGGAUUCAUCAAACCCUAGGGUUCAUCCGCAGCCGCUUCUUCUCGUUAGAUGGCGGUCGUCGGGGAAUCAUCGGAUCCCGCUAAACAUGGUCAUCAGGAUCAGUGGACUCGAUGUCGAUCUGUAUCUUGUUGUGGAAACCGAGCAUGUGUAUCUCAUCUUAUCGCUACAGGAUUUCGGACAUAGGACGGAUCCUUGGAUGAUUACCCAGGCAUAGCCAUGGAGUUCAUGGAUCAAACUUUGUUUAGCGGUAUUAUAUCAAAUCGCGUUGCAGAUCUGGUUGUUCGUCUCGCUAUUUCUCGCUAUGCGAAGAAGAUCUGGUUGUUCGCCUGUUGCUGAGUUGAUCUCAUUAUGUCUCUUAGUUUAAGUAUUUGGAACUAGAGAUAUGGUUAUCGGGUUCUUUCCCAACAUAUGGGCGAGGAAUGGUGGGUAUCUCCAUGGAGGGUAAGGUAAUUUACUGAUCAUGUUUGGUGAUGCAUCUAGGGUUUGUCGACACGACCUUUGCCAUGUUGGGUGCGCUCGCAUGGCAGGUCAUAGACACAUAAUAAAAAUCAUUUUUCUGUGUGUUUGGGGAUCGCAUGGGGUGAAUUUUAGACCCUGGGUUCCCCUCUGUGUUGUUUUCUUCUUGUUUGUGUUGUUCCUUGCCACCACAGUCCAUCUGCACUAUCCCCAUGUGAAUGUUCUAUCUGCAAUCAUGACAUACCACGAGUUCUACAUCUCAAUAGGCGAUUUCACCACUGUAAAUCUGAGUCCAUCAGAGAAUAAUGAUCUUCGAGCAACGAAUUUUAUAGCUCAAUCAUCUAUUUCGUACCUGCUAUACUGAGUCCUUCAGAAAGGAAAGUCUGCAAAUCCCUAGGAAUCAACUUACAAUUUUACGCCAAGAUGCACGCCGCAGUUAUGUAUUCCGAUUUCCAAGGUACUGAUUCCACAUAUUGUUCAUGUUGUCGCCUUACAAGUUGUGUCAAAAAACUGCUAUUUUGAUUUAUGUGAUGCUACAUAUUUAGAACA